rnacentral:rRNA from 1 species
AACUGCGAAUGGCUCAUUAAAUCAGUUAUCGUUUAUUUGAUAGUACCUUACUACUUGGAUAACCGUGGUAAUUCUAGAGCUAAUACAUGCUGAAAACCCCAACUUCGGGAGGGGUGUAUUUAUUAGAUAAAAAACCAACGCCCUUCGGGGCUUCUUGGUGAUUCAUGAUAACUUUACGGAUCGCAUGGCCUUGCGCCGGCGACGGUUCAUUCAAAUUUCUGCCCUAUCAACUUUCGAUGGUAAGGUAUUGGCUUACCAUGGUUUCAACGGGUAACGGGGAAUUAGGGUUCGAUUCCGGAGAGGGAGCCUGAGAAACGGCUACCACAUCCAAGGAAGGCAGCAGGCGCGCAAAUUACCCAAUCCCGACACGGGGAGGUAGUGACAAUAAAUACUGAUACAGGGCUCUUUUGGGUCUUGUAAUUGGAAUGAGUACAAUUUAAACCUCUUAACGAGGAACAAUUGGAGGGCAAGUCUGGUGCCAGCAGCCGCGGUAAUUCCAGCUCCAAUAGCGUAUAUUAAAGUUGUUGCAGUUAAAAAGCUCGUAGUUGAACCUUGGGUCUGGCUGGCAGGUCCGCCUCACCGCGUGUACUUGUCCGGCCGGGCCUUCCUUCUGGAGAACCUCAUGCCCUUCACUGGGCGUGUUGGGGACCAGGACUUUUACUUUGAAAAAAUUAGAGUGUUCAAAGCAGGCCUUUGCUCGAAUACGUUAGCAUGGAAUAAUAGAAUAGGACGUGCGGUCCUAUUUUGUUGGUUUCUAGGACCGCCGUAAUGAUUAAUAGGGACAGUCGGGGGCAUCAGUAUUCAAUUGUCAGAGGUGAAAUUCUUGGAUUUAUUGAAGACUAACUACUGCGAAAGCAUUUGCCAAGGAUGUUUUCAUUAAUCAGUGAACGAAAGUUAGGGGAUCGAAGACGAUCAGAUACCGUCGUAGUCUUAACCGUAAACUAUGCCGACUAGGGAUCGGGCGAUGUUCUUUUUCUGACUCGCUCGGCACCUUACGAGAA